UCAAACCAAAAAUAUUAAACUUGAAAAUUUGAAAAGAUAUUUGUUUUAUGCCAGUUCUGUUUUUUUUACAUACAAAUUUUGCUAUUUUUAUUUUAAAUUGAAAAAGAAGAAGAUCAAAAGGUAGAAAGGGUUCAAUUAAACGUUGUCGCGACGAAGUUGCCUCUCAAUUCAACGACUGGUGAGGUCCGUGAAGCAUUUGCUGCACUUGCUGGAACGUCGAGUAUGAUUCCGAAUGCCCGCGACGAUUCUAGUGAUUCCAGCGAUUUCAGUGAUUUCAUUUGUCCACAUGGAAUAAUUGACGACAUCGCCAAAAAUCAAGAUCGAAUUGCGGAAUUUCUUGAACGACCAGAAAGAGAUUUCGACGAUCUAGCCAGUCUUACUAACUUCAGUCCGACGGCUGUUCAACGAUUGUACAAAAAAAAAGAAGAAUUGCUCCAUAUUUAUCAUAAUGAUGUAAAAGAAUUUGCCAAGAAGUUAUAUGAAGUGGGUGUUGAUUGUGAAAAAUCGGUAAAGCGU